rnacentral:tRNA from 1 species
ACCCAGUUGGCUCAGUCGGUAGAGCAGGUGACUCUUGAUUUUGGGGUCAUGAGUUUAAGCCCCACACUGGGUA